rnacentral:rRNA from 1 species
GAUGAACGCUGGCGGCGUGCCUAACACAUGCAAGUCGAACGCUCCGCAAGGGGAGUGGCGCACGGGUGAGGAACACGUAGUUGACCUGCCUUCGAGAGGGGGAUAACAGUUCGAAAGAACUGCUAAUACCGCAUAAUGUUACUUCCAAUAGCGGGGAGUAACCAAAGGCUACGGUCACUUGAAGAGGGGACUGCGACCUAUCAGGUAGUUGGUGGGGUAAAAGCCUACCAAGCCGACGACGGGUAGGGGGUCUGAGAGGAUGGCCCCCCACACUGGGACUGAGACACGGCCCAGACUCCUACGGGAGGCAGCAGUGAGGGAUAUUGCACAAUGGGGGAAACCCUGAUGCAGCGACGCCGCGUGGGUGAUGAAGGCUUUCGGGUCGUAAAACCCUUUUUGGCAUGACGAGAACGGACGGUAGUGCCAGAAUAAGUCUCGGCUAACUACGUGCCAGCAGCCGCGGUAAAACGUAGGAGGCAAGCGUUAUCCGGAGUUACUGGGCGUAAAGGGUGCGUAGGCGGCUCAUCAAGUGGGACGUGAAAGCUCACGGCUAAACUGUGAGAGGACGACUCAGACUGAAGGGCUAGAGGGUGUCAGAGGCGUGCGGAAUUCGGGGUGUAGCGGUGAAAUGUGUAGAGAUCCCGAGGAACACCAGUGGUGCAAACGGCGCGCUGGGACACAACUGACGCUGAAGCACGAAAGCGUGGGGAGCGAACGGGAUUAGAGACCCCGGUAGUCCACGCCGUANACGAUGUCAACUAGGUGUCUGCAAGGGGAAACCUGAGUGGGUGUCAAAGCUAACGCGAUAAGUUGACCGCCUGGGGAGUACGGUCGCAAGGCUAAAACUCAAAGGAAUUGACGGGGGCCCCGCACAGCAGCGGAGCGUGUGGUUUNAUUCGAGGCUACGCGAAGAACUUACCUGGGGUUGACAUCACGGUGGUAGGGCGACGAAAGUCAACCGACCUUCGGAAGCCGUGACAGGUGCUGCAUGGCUGUCGUCAGCUCGUGUCGUGAGAUGUUCGGUUAAANUCCGAAAACGAGCGCAACCCUCGGCGUUAGGUUACACGUGUCUAACGCGACCGCCCUCGAGAAGGGGAGGGAAGGUGGGGAUGACGUCAAGUCAGCAUGGCCUUUAUAUCCAGGGCUACACACACGCUGCAAUGGGGGACACAAUGGGCAGCGAAGGGGCGACCUGGAGCCAAUCCACCAAAGUCUUUCGUAGUUCGGAUUGCAGGCUGCAACUCGCCUGCAUGAAGCUGGAGUUGCUAGUAACCGUGCAUCAGCUACGGCACGGUGAAUACGUUCCCGGGCCUUGUACACACCGCCCGUCACGUCAUGGGAGCUGGUCACGCCUGAAGCCGAUGUGCGAACCGCAAGGAAGCAGUCGUCGAGGGCAGGGCUGGUGACUGGGACG